rnacentral:rRNA from 1 species
GUGAGGAAUUUUCCGCAAUGGGCGAAAGCCUGACGGAGCAAUGCCGCGUGAAGGAUGAAGGCCUAUGGGUUGUAAACUUCUUUUCUCAGAAAAGAAUUAUGACGGUAUCUGAGGAAUAAGCAUCGGCUAACUCUGUGCCAGCAGCCGCGGUAAGACAGAGGAUGCAAGCGUUAUCCGGAAUGAUUGGGCGUAAAGCGUCUGUAGGUUGUUUAAAAAGUAUUCUGUCAAAGAUUAGGGCUUAACCCUAGAUAGGCAGAAUAAACUUUUAAGCUAGAGUGUGGUAGAGGCAGAGGGAAUUCCCGGUGGAGCGGUGAAAUGCGUAGAUAUCGGGAGGAACACCAAAGGCGAAGGCACUCUGCUGGGCCAAUACUAACACUGAGAGACGAAAGCGAGGGGAGCAAAUGGGAUUAGAUACCCUGUAGUCC